GACCAGCUCAAGAAGUGAGCUGCUGUUGACGGAGGCAAGUUGGAUGUCGGGAAUGCUGAGGUGAAGUUGGAGGAAGAGAACAGGAGCCUGAAGGCUGAGCUGCAGAAGCUAAAGGAUGAGCUGGCCAGCACUAAGCAAAAACUAGAGAAAGCUGAAAACCAGGUUCUGGCCAUGCGGAAGCAGUCUGAGGGCCUCACCAAGGAGUACGACCGCUUGC
rnacentral:lncRNA from 1 species